rnacentral:misc_RNA from 1 species
UGGCUUACCUCCNUCAGUUAUGCGUCAUGACUUGUAUCGUCUUGAGCGUAUUGUGGGUUUCCUGUGUUGCAUACCUAAUAAUGGAAUCGUUUUGGUUGAUUGAAGUCCCUUUUCAUCACGUGUUGCCUUUGCGAUGCAUGAUGAACCUCGAAGCGGUCUCUAUGUUCCACCACGUUGAUGCUAGUGUCUUGAUGUUGUGGCCCAUUGAGUGUUGCUUGGUUUUGUGGAUACAGAACAUGAUUUGGGCAUAGGGUCACCUGUGACUCUUGUUUUGUCCUUUAUCAGUGUUCUCUAUAACGACGGUUCAUGCGCGCCUAGGCUCGUACCUGCGCGAUGUUCUUUGUCGAAGAGGAAUGCUACCUGGUUGAUCC